UACGUAGGGUGCGAGCGUUAAUCGGAAUUACUGGGCGUAAAGCGUGCGCAGGCGGUUUUGUAAGACAGAUGUGAAAUCCCCGGGCUCAACCUGGGAACUGCGUUUGUGACUGCAAGACUCGAGUGCGGCAGAGGGGGGUGGAAUUCCACGUGUAGCAGUGAAAUGCGUAGAGAUGUGGAGGAACACCGAUGGCGAAGGCAGCCCCCUGGGUCGACACUGACGCUCAUGCACGAAAGCGUGGGGAGCAGACAGG
rnacentral:rRNA from 1 species